CAUUUUGUUACUUGGAACUUGGAGACAGGACUUAUUAAGGAUCGAUUAAGACCAGAAUACAAAGAAAAUUUUGUCUUGCAAUCUACUCAACAUACUACCCAUUCCUCUUCCAAAGAAAACAUGAAGAGACCUAAAGGAGUUUAUAAAGAAAAACCAGCAUUAUGGCAUCCCUGGGAAAAGCGAAAUGAAAUCAAUACUGGAAAGAAAAGGAAAAAAGAAAAGGCAUUAAAACUGGAGGUGGAGACAUUACAAAAACUAGCUAAAGAGAAGAACAAUACUAUUGAUCAAUUCCUCCUGAGUGGAGAUGAGAAGGAUUAAAAUUUGGGAUCCAUUUAAGCAUAAACACAAAUUAAUGCAAGGUUAUGAAGGUCUUGAUCUGACUGUGAAUAGCAAAUUGCACAUAUUAGAUGGAACAAAAGCAAUUCUACUUGCAGGUGAGGUCAGUUUCUGGGAUUUGGAGAGUGGCACAGUUAUAUCCAUCUUUACAUUUGAUAGCAAAAUAUCUUGCAUGACUGUUGCUUGUGACAAAAAGACAGUUCUUUUAGGCUUGAGCAACAGCUCUACUCUUACCACUUUGAAAAUGAUGAGCAUAAACACUGCUGAAAAUUCAAUAGGAAAAGAUUUGUUUGGAGAAGACUCAUCAAGCAGUGAAGAAGAACAUGAAAAUAUUUAAAAGAAAAUUUGAACAAAAUAAAAUCAAGCAUAAACAAAUGAAACUUGACA
rnacentral:lncRNA from 1 species